rnacentral:tRNA from 1 species
GGGCUCGUAGUCCAAUGGUAAGACGUCGCCUUCACACGGCGGAGACCUGGGUUCGAUUCCCUGCGGGCCCA